GGACGAACGCUGGCGGCGUGCCUAACACAUGCAAGUCGAACGGACGAGAGGAGCUUGCUCCUCGAGUUAGUGGCGAACGGGUGAGUAACGCGUGAGCAACCUGCCUUUCAGAGGGGGACAACGGUUGGAAACGACCGCUAAUACCGCAUGAUGUAUUCGGAUCGCAUGGUCUGAAAUACCAAAGAUUUAUCGCUGAAAGAUGGGCUCGCGUCUGAUUAGAUAGUUGGUGAGGUAACGGCUCACCAAGUCUGCGAUCAGUAGCCGGACUGAGAGGUUGAACGGCCACAUUGGGACUGAGAUACGGCCCAGACUCCUACGGGAGGCAGCAGUGGGGAAUAUUGGGCAAAGUGGGGGAAACCCUGACCCAGCAACGCCGCGUGAAGGAAGAAGGCUUUCGGGUUGUAAACUUCUUUACCAGGGACGAAGGACGUGACGGUACCUGGAGAAAAAGCCACGGCUAACUACGUGCCAGCCGCUGC
rnacentral:rRNA from 1 species